UGUUUGUUGUCCACCAAAAGUAAACUCAAUGUCAAGUGAUAAUGUCACUCUAGUAGAUGUUGCAGAAACGAUAAUAACACUAAGGGAGAUAACUGGAUAUCCUAGACCUUCAACAGAAGCGGAAUCGAUGGUAUUACCAGUAGGGGUUAACAGUCAUUACCAAUAUAUUAAUUAUACCCUGAUUAAUACAACUAAACCACAUCAUUAUAAUCUUAGUCUUUCUGUAUAUGUUGUUACCAAACAUUACAUUGGUAAAUACUGUAUUUACUUAAAGAACAAGCAUGGAGAAUUACCAGUUUGUCACACACUAAUGCAGGCUUCCAAUGAUGUAAUUAAUAAUUCUACUGGAAUUACAGCUACCAAUGACCCGAUUAAUAUUUCUACUUCUGGAAUUAUUAUUAAUAUAUGUUUUAUAGGGUCAUGUCUGUUAAUAGGUGUCCUCAUAAUUGGUUUAAUUUUUGUCAAGAACUAUUUUAACCAGAUGGCUGGCCAAAAUAAUUAUGAGGAAGUUUCUAUGCAACAGUUUUCUACAGAUCUCACCACACCAGAUAUACACUAACAGGAUACUCUUACGUAACAGAGAAUCUUUAAUUACAUCUUCAACUCAAGUAUCUUCCGAUUAUGAACGACCAGUUUCAUUAAUUGUCCCUCGACUACCAGAUAAUGAUCAGCAAUAAAAUAUAAACAAUGGGUUUGAAGACAGCGUGGUGGAAGCGAAUAAUUGUGGUGAAGAUUAGAAUUUAAAUAAGAAUAUGAAAGUGAAUCUUGACAUUUUUGUCGAUUUAAUUGUUUUAUUUUAUUUUAUUUUGUUUUCUUUUCGCGAUCAUAUGAAUUUGUGUUCACAUGAUUCCGUGUCAUGUCCUGAUGCCAAAUCAAAUACUCUACAUAUUCACGUUUAUGAACUACUGUGAUGAUACGGUUCGCCAUGACAGUGAACACGUUUCGGCAAUAUGUAUGUAUUUUUAAAUAACAUGUAUGAGUAAUAGGGAAGAUGGUUAAUGAAAAAGGGAGAGUAUUACAGAUUCAUAUUUGUAUUAUAUAACUUAUUUCGUUCAUACCGGUUAAAAUACAGUUGUUUAGGAGUUCCAAAAUAUAAUCCCGUCUUUAAUAUGGCCAUAUUAUGUCAUCAUUCUGGUUCGUUUGUCAGGUCAGCCAAACAUUCAAACCACGGAUUUUUAUUGAAGUAAAAUUUGAUUAUAUAUAUUAUUCAGUACGCAUAUUGUCUAUCAAUGUUAAAGAUUAUGUUGUUUUCCUUCAAU